UCUAAGUUCAGAACAUGGAUAAGAAUUCCUUGAAUUCUCAGUCAUCAGUGUGAAGGUUUACAGACUUGUUAACUUGUAUUCUGAUCUUUGAAACUUCAUAAGAACUUCUGAUGUUUAAACAUAACCAUUAUGAUUUUUGAACAUAACCCUGCAAAUCAUUUAACAAACUAUUCUUAGAAGUAGUUGUUAGCAGAAAAUAUUAAUCAAUGUUUGGGUUCUUAGUUAAGGACUUUAGGUAUAUCAAAAUAUUUACACCUUCC
rnacentral:lncRNA from 1 species